GUAUCUACGGCUGACGGGUGAGUAAUGCCUAGGAAUCUGCCUGGUAAAAAGGGACAACGUUUCGAAAGGAACGCUAAUACCGCAUACGUCCUACGGGAGAAAGCAGGGGACCUUCGGGCCUUGCGCUAUCAGAUGAGCCUAGGUCGGAUUAGCUAGUUGGUGAGGUAAUGGCUCACCAAGGCGACGAUCCGUAACUGGUCUGAGAGGAUGAUCAGUCACACUGGAACUGAGACUCGGUCCCGACCCCUACUUCAGGCGGCUUUGGGGAAUAUUGGACCUUGGGCGAAAGCCUGAUCCAGCCAUGCCGCGUGUGUGAAGAAGGUCUUCGGAUUGUGAAGCUAUUUCAAUUGGGAGGAAGGGCAGUUGACUAAUACCUUGCUGUUUUUGCGUUACAGAUACAAAAAGCACCGGCUCAUUCUGUGAAAGUUCCCGCGGUAAUA
rnacentral:rRNA from 1 species